rnacentral:rRNA from 1 species
CCUACGGGCGGCUGCAGUGAGGAAUAUUGGUCAAUGGGCGUAAGCCUGAACCAGCCAAGUCGCGUGAGGGAUGAAGGUUCUAUGGAUCGUAAACCUCUUUUAUAAGGGAAUAAAGUGCGGGACGUGUCCCGUUUUGUAUGUACCUUAUGAAUAAGGAUCGGCUAGCUCCGUGCCAGCAGCCGCGGUAAUACGGAGGAUCCGAGCGUUAUCCGGAUUUAUUGGGUUUAAAGGGUGCGUAGGCGGUCUUUUAAGUCAGCGGUGAAAGUCUGUGGCUCAACCAUCGAAUUGCCGUUGAAACUGGGAGACUUGAGUAUGUUAGAGGCAGGUGGAAUGCGUGGUGUAGCGGUGAAAUGCGUAGAUAUAACGAAGAACCCCGAUUGCGAAGGCGGCCUGCCAAGCCAUGACUGACGCUGAUGCACGAAAGCGUGGGGAUCAAACAGGAGUAGAUACCCCUGUAGUC